rnacentral:rRNA from 1 species
GAGUUUGAUCAUGGCUCAGGAUGAACGCUGGCGGCGUGCCUAAUACAUGCAAGUCGAGCGAACAGACGGGGAGCUUGCUCCCCUGACGUUAGCGGCGGACGGGUGAGUAACACGUGGGUAACCUACCUAUAAGACUGGAAUAACUCCGGGAAACCGGGGCUAAUGCCGGAUAACACGUUGGACCGCAUGGUCCUACAGUGAAAGACGGUCUUGCUGUCACUUAUAGGUGGACCCGCGCCGUAUUAGCUAGUUGGUAAGGUAACGGCUUACCAAGGCAACGAUACGUAGCCGACCUGAGAGGGUGAUCGGCCACACUGGAACUGAGACACGGUCCAGACUCCUACGGGAGGCAGCAGUAGGGAAUCUUCCGCAAUGGGCGAAAGCCUGACGGAGCAACGCCGCGUGAGUGAUGAAGGCC